GUGAUGAUCGUUGCUGCUGUCCCCAGUGCCCAGCAUUGGCUAGGAAAGAGUCUGCUUCUUCCAGCUGCCUUGAUGAAACCAGGACUCCUAACAAUAUGAGACUCUACUAAAGAGAAUGACUUAUUCUUAUCAGUGUUUCGGGUCUCACUGAUCUCUGGCCUUGUGGACCCAAAUGAAAACCAUGAGUGCAACAUUGGCUCUGUCAUCUCUGUCUCUGUUGCUGGCUCUGGAGCAGCAGGGUUGCUCUCUACCUCAGGCCCCAUCUUCCAGCUCCAGGCCCAGCGUGGAUGCCCAGUAACACCUGUGCACAGAUCGACUCAGAUAAGCGUCAACCUAAUAGAAUAUGACGGAACUGAAGAUCGUUUUUUUUUUGGUACCGGGGAUCGAACUCCAGUCCUUGUGCUUGCCAGGCAAGCGGCAGAACCACUGAGCUAAAUCCAUGGAACUGGAACUGAAGAUCUUCACAGCCAACCAUCAUGUCUUCUUCUUUGAGGACGAGCAUCCUCUACUCUUCUGAUUGCUCCCCAGAUGUCAUGGUUUGUCAUCUCAGGUUUUCAUUUUUCUUUGUACACACGUAUUGCUUUGGGGGUGGGACCACAGCUGACUCUAGUUAGGGAAAUUGACCUUGUAAACAGGUGUCAGGUAAAGAUUGCUGGUCAGGGAUUCAAUAGCAAAGCUGUGAGGGAAGGAAGUGCAGGAUUAGAUGAGGGCAGUCCUGGCAAACCUUCUAGAGUUUUCAAUGAGAACUAACAGUCAGCUGUGGCACACAUUCACCACCACUGGAACAGGACAGGAGGAAACAGGGAGAAGGAGUCAGCAGUCAGGACUCCUCAGCCAUGUGGUUGUGAGGGCAGUGAGUAAGAUGGCAGCUCCAGGCUGCCAUCCUCUGAGCUUUGCACAUCCUCCACUAAGGAGAACACCUGAUGGGUAUGGCUUGGGGCACAGCAACAUCCCUGCGCUCAUCAUUGUGACUGGGACAUCUCAGAUGAUACCCGUGUUGUGAGGCUCUGCUUCGGGAAUGCACUGUGGUGGCUGGAAAGCCCCUGUGUGCAGUCAGGAGGCCGGGAGAGGCAGUUCUGCAAAGCAGGGGGUGUUGUUUCCGGGAAAAGAGGGCAAAGCUUCCUGGUACUCCAAACCAGCAGACGUCUUCUACUGAAUUGUUUGAAGAGGAACUAGGGGUAGGAAGAGUGACUGAAGGGAGCCCACGGUGGACUCAGCCUGAGCUUUACAAUUUAGCCACUGCCAUUGGGAGGAUCCAGUUUCUCUGCCAGGGGUCUGUCCCUUUCGAAGGCUUUACUGUGCUCUUGAAGAACGGCACUUAUACAACACUGAAGUGUGCUUUCUGAGCAGCUUAACGAAAACGGGCUAUGGAAUUGCAGAACAAGGCCAUGUCCGAAGGCGAGUGAGAAGCCACCCAGGGCUGUCUUCUGGAUAAAAGCUGGGAGGAGGGACAGA
rnacentral:lncRNA from 1 species